CCCCUCCCUCCCACCUCACAUUCCUACCAGUGCCAAAGAAUGAAAGACAGAGAGAAGGGGGGGGGUAUACAAGAAACAAAACCAGAGAAGAGGUAUGGGAAUGUGGUACUCUAAACAACACCAUAUCUUGACUUGAUUGUGACGCCUCUUCUUCCUUAGUCCUGACCAAUCGCUGUGGCUUGUCGUUGUGUGUGUGUGUGUGUCUAAUGCCCACUUUGAAGACAGGACCGUAUCCAUGACAGGUAGCCGUGACAACUGUGGUCAUGACGACGGCUCGCAUAGUAGCAAAGAGGCGUGACAACAGCCAAAUGCCCAUGGGAUUGUGAUGUAAAAAAAUAAAAUAAAAAAUAAAAAAACAGAAUAUAGACAAUGUGCACAAGGGGGAAAUACUAAUAUGAGCACACACAUUCCUUCUCCGGGUGCCACCCACACACAUUGCACCAGUCCAAGGCAUCUUGGUCCCUUAGCUUUCCCACUCAGUAAUUUAUUUUGUUUUGUGACCACCACAUUCACACACCACCUUUUUCCACCAACCCACUCUGCUAUUGUACUAACUACGGAUCUCAGUCCCUCCCACUCAAAACUAUCCUACCCCACAAAUACACUCCUUAUAGAGGCUUUCACAUCGACUCUGGAUCCAUAUCUCCCACUCAAAUUUGAGUGUGUCAUUCCACUCCAUGAGUCUCUUAAUCUGGUAGUGUCAUUCCACUCCAUGAGUCUCUUAAUCUGGUAGUGUCAUUCCACUCCAUGAGUCUCUUAAUCUGGUAGUGUCAUUCCACUCCAUGAGUCUCUUAAUCUGGUAGUGUCAUUCCACUCCAUGAGUCUCUUAAUCUGGUAGUGUCAUUCCACUCCAUGAGUCUCUUAAUCUGGUAGUGUCAUUCCACUCCAUGAGUCUCUUAAUCUGGUAGUGUCAUUCCACUCCAUGAGUCUCUUAAUCUGGUAGUGUCAUUCCACUCCAUGAGUCUCUUAAUCUGGUAGUGUCAUUCCACUCCAUGAGUCUCUUAAUCUGGUAGUGUCAUUCCACUCCAUGAGUCUCUUAAUCUGGUAGUGUCAUUCCACUCCAUGAGUCUCUUAAUCUGGUAGUGUCAUUCCACUCCAUGAGUCUCUUAAUCUGGUAGUGUCAUUCCACUCCAUGAGUCUCUUAAUCUGGUAGUGUCAUUCCACUCCAUGAGUCUCUUAAUCUGGUAGUGUCAUUCCACUCCAUGAGUCUCUUAAUCUGGUAGUGUCAUUCCACUCCAUGAGUCUCUUAAUCUGGUAGUGUCAUUCCACUCCAUGAGUCUCUUAAUCUGGUAGUGUCAUUCCACUCCAUGAGUCUCUUAAUCUGGUAGUGUCAUUCCACUCCAUGAGUCCCUUAAUCUGGUAGUGUCAUUCCACUCCACGAGUCUCUUAAUCUGGUAGUUUCAUUCCACUCCAUGAGCCUCUUAAUCUGUUAGUGCCAUUGGUUUUGAACCCACCAGAUAUCCACUCUUCCCCUCAAACACUAUAGUGUUUUGAACCCACCAGAGAUCCACUCUUCCCCUAACACACUAUAGUGUUCUGAUCCACUCUUCCCAUCAAAACACUAUAGUGUUCUGAACCCACCAGAGAUCCACUCUUCCCCUCAAACACUAUAGUGUUCUGAACCCACCAGAGAUCCACUCUUCCCCUCACUAGUGUUUUAUGUUUAGUGACCCACAGAUAUUGCGUCCCAAAUGAAACCCUAUCAUUUAAGUAGUGCACUACAUCAGGGCCCUGGUUAAAUGUAGUGCUCUAGAAAGGGAAUAGGGUGCUAUAGGCCCUAGUUAAAAGAAGUGCGCUAGAUAGGGAAUAGGGUGCUAUAGGCCCUGGUUAAAAGAAGUGGACUAGAUAGGGAAUAGGGUGCUAUAGACCCUGGUUAAAAUUAGUGCACUACAUAGGGAAUAGGGUGCCAUUUGGGCCACACAGACCCACUCCAUGCUCAUUUAAAUGACCACAGACAGAGCGGUCUGUUGACCACAGCACUUUAAUCACCACCAGCCAGGCCAAGCUAAGCGAUCACAGAUCUGUGCCAGGCCAAGCUAAGCGAUCACAGAUCUGCUCCAGGCCAAGCUAAGCGAUCACAGAUCUGUGCCAGGCCAAGCUAAGCGAUCACAGAUCUGCGCCAGGCCAAGCGAUCACAGAUCUGUGCCAGGCCAAGCUAAGUGAUCACAGAUCUGCGCCAGGCCAAGCUAAGCGAUCACAGAUCUGUGCCAGGCCAAGCUAAGUGAUCACAGAUCUGUGCCAAGCCAAGCUAAGCGAUCACAGAUCUGUGCCAGGCCAAACUAAGCAAUCACAGAUCCGUCCUGAUUCAUACUAUACAAAACAGCUCCCCUCAUCCACAAAUCUGCAAUCCCAAUAAUCUUUCCUUUCUCCUGAAGUGUGCACUCCUUCACAAAUGUAAAAGCAUUGGAUAGGUGGAGGUAUUGACUAGACUAGAGGAUAGGUGGAGGUAUUGACUAGACUAGAGGAUAGGUGGAGGCAUGGACUAGAGGAUAGGUGGAGGUAUGGACCAGACUAGAGGAUUAGGUGGAGGUAUUGACUAGACUAGAGGAUAGGUGGAGGUAUGGACUAGACUAGAGGAUAGGUGGAGGUAUGGACUAGACUAGAGGAUAGGUGGAGGUAUGGACUAGAGGAUAGGUGGAGGUAUGGACUAGACUAGAGGAUAGGUGGAGGUAUGGACUACACUAGAGGAUAGGUGGAGGUAUGGACUACACUAGAGGAUAGGUGGAGGUAUGGACUAGACUAGAGGAUAGGUGGAGGUAUGGACUAGACUAGAGGAUAGGUGGAGGUAUGGACUAGAGGAUAGGUGGAGGUAUGGACUAGACUAGAGGAUAGGUGGAGGUAUGGACCAGACUAGAGGAUAGGUGGAGGUAUGGACUAGACUAGAGGAUAGGUGGAGGUAUGGACUAGACUAGAGGAUAGGUGGAGGUAUGGACUAGACUAGAGGAUAGGUGGAGGUAUGGACUAGACUAGAGGAUAGGUGGAGGUAUGGACUAGAGGAUAGGUGGAGGUAUGGACUAGACUAGAGGAUAGGUGGAGGCAUGGACUAGAGGAUAGGUGGAGGCAUGGACUAGAGGAUAGGUGGAGGUAUUGACUAGACUAGAGGAUAGGUGGAGGUAUGGACUAGACUAGAGGAUAGGUGGAGGUAUGGACUAGACUAGAGGAUAGGUGGAGGUAUGGACUAGAGGAUAGGUGGAGGUAUUGACUGGACUAGAGGAUAGGUGGAUGUAUGGACUAGACUAGAGGAUAGGUGGAGGUAUUGACUAGACUAGAGGAUAGGUGGAGGUAUGGACUAGACUAGAGGAUAGGUGGAGGUAUGGACUAGAGGAUAGGUGGAGGUAUGGACCAGACUAGAGGAUAGGUGGAGGUAUGGACUAGAUUAGAGGAUAGGUGGAGGUAUGGACUAGACUAGAGGAUAGGUGGAGGUAUGGACUAGACUAGAGGAUAGGUGGAGGUAUGGACUAGACUAGAGGAUAGGUGGAGGUAUGGACUAGACUAGAGGAUAGGUGGAGGUAUGGACUAGACUAGAGGAUAGGUGGAGGUAUGGACCAGACUAGAGGAUAGGUGGAGGUAUGGACCAGACUAGAGGAUAGGUGGAGGUAUGGACCAGACUAGAGGAUAGGUGGAGGUAUGGACCAGACUAGAGGAUAGGUGGAGGUAUGGACCAGACUAGAGGAUAGGUGGAGGUAUGGACCAGACUAGAGGAUAGGUGGAGGUAUGGACCAGACUAGAGGAUAGGUGGAGGUAUGGACCAGACUAGAGGAUAGGUGGAGGUAUGGACCAGACUAGAGGAUAGGUGGAGGUAUGGACCAGACUAGAGGAUAGGUGGAGGUAUGGACCAGACUAGAGGAUAGGUGGAGGUAUGGACCAGACUAGAGGAUAGGUGGAGGUAUGGACUAGACUAGAGGAUAGGUGGAGGUAUGGACCAGACUAGAGGAUAGGUGGAGGUAUGGACCAGACUAGAGGAUAGGUGGAGGUAUGGACCAGACUAGAGGAUAGGUGGAGGUAUGGACCAGACUAGAGGAUAGGUGGAGGUAUGGACCAGACUAGAGGAUAGGUGGAGGUAUGGACCAGACUAGAGGAUAGGUGGAGGUAUGGACCAGACUAGAGGAUAGGUGGAGGUAUGGACCAGACUAGAGGAUAGGUGGAGGUAUGGACCAGACUAGAGGAUAGGUGGAGGUAUGGACCAGACUAGAGGAUAGGUGGAGGUAUGGACCAGACUAGAGGAUAGGUGGAGGUAUGGACUAGACUAGAGGAUAGGUGGAGGUAUGGACUAGACUAGAGGAUAGGUGGAGGUAUGGACUAGACUAGAGGAUAGGUGGAGGUAUGGACUAGACUAGAGGAUAGGUGGAGGUAUUGACUAGACUAGAGGAUAGGUGGAGGUAUGGACUAGACUAGAGGAUAGGUGGAGGUAUGGACCAGACUAGAGGAUAGGUGGAGGUAUGGACUAGACUAGAGCGAGUUCCACCAUGAAUUUGCUUUUAUACCCAAGAAAGGAAGUGAACAAGUGCACACUGAUAAAAAGGACAGAUUGUUGGGCCCCGUGCUGAACUCCCUCCUUAGGUUUCUAUUGGGAAGUAGGGAAGGGAUGGGAAGGGAUAGCGGGAGGAGAGGUGUAUCACCGCAGAGCUGGGGGUCAAAGGUCAUUGCACAAUAUUAUAGACUUGCUGUUCUGUAAAAGCCUAAUAUGCAAUGCAUUGUUUAUUAUUACCAUAAUAAAAUAUAUUAUUUUCGUAUUUUUCCAUUUUGUCUGAUGUCAAUCUCUCCCGCUUUGCCAGGGAGCCACAUUGUUGUAUGAUGUAUAUUAUAUUAUACAUGUGUAAUAAAUAAGUCAUAUUAAUAAUAAUCGUGUUGAGAAAUGAAUCCCAUGUAGUCUUCUUCAUCAUGUUGGUCUGAUAAUAGUACAUGGAUGACGACACCUAAUAAAACACUUGUUUGUA